rnacentral:rRNA from 1 species
GAUGAACGCUGGCGGCGUGCCUAAUACAUGCAAGUCGAGCGAACAGAUAAGGAGCUUGCUCCUUUGACGUUAGCGGCGGACGGGUGAGUAACACGUGGGUAACCUACCUAUAAGACUGGGAUAACUUCGGGAAACCGGAGCUAAUACCGGAUAACAUUUGGAACCGCAUGGUUCUAAAGUGAAAGAUGGUUUUGCUAUCACUUAUAGAUGGACACGCGCCGUAUUAGCUAGUUGGUAAGGUAACGGCUUACCAAGGCGACGAUACGUAGCCGACCUGAGAGAGUGAUCGGCCACACUGGAACUGGGACACGGUCAAGACUCCUACGGGAGGCAGCAGUAGGGAAUCUUCCGCAAUGGGCGAAAGCCUGACGGAGCAACGCCGCGUGAGUGAUGAAGGGGUUCGGCUCGUAAAACUCGGUUAUUAGGGAAGAACAAAUGUGUAAGUAACUGUGCACGUCUUGACGGUACCUAAUCAGAAAGCCACGGCUAACUACGUG